CCUAGUGAGAUGAACCCGGUACCUCAGAUGGAAAUGCAGAAAUCACCGUCUUCUGCGUCGCUCAUGCUGGGAGCUGUAGACCGGAGCCGUUCCUAUUCGGCCAUCUUGGCUCCUCCAGGCCCUUAAAAUUAUAUUUCUUUCAUACUAAAGUGUGGGAGGAAAUAUGGGUAUCACCUUCCUGGCGAUUUCCCAUGGCUGGGACCUCUUAGGAAGCAGUCUCCCUAGAGUAUUUCAAAAUAAUUAUGAAAUACCUACUUCCUGUCGAAAGGUGUCCCUCCUAUUUACUCUGAGUUUUCAUAAAUAAUUUACAAUACAAAAGUAUUUGAUGGUGUGACAUUUUAAAGACAAGGAACAGAAUGAUUCCUAAAGGCUCCUCCAUAUCUAUAACAUUUUAAAAAAUCAACCGAUUGCUGUUUGUAAUCUCUCCCUGAUUUUGCUGCAAAUGACUAAUCUUAGUAUUUUCCUUCUUGUUGCAGUUCUCACCUUGAUGAUUUUAUAAAUACCUGUGCAAUCAUUUAAGGAUGCUGUUAUAACUUGCUAUCACAGGAUUCAGGUCCAAGAACCCUCUCUUAGGAUCUGCACUGGGACCUACCCCUUUUUGGCAACAUGUUCUUGGCAACCACGAAGGGACUAUCCUGAGGAGAUCCCUGACCCAAAGGAAAUAGACUGCAGAACCAAUUGGCUGACUUUGGCGGGUCAAAGAAUAUGUGAGAUUCCCCACACAUUUAUGCCACAGGAGGAGAAAAGCCUGCCUAGGGGUGUUUUAACUUAUGCCCAGAAGUACCACCUGGAAGAGGCAACGAGACUUUAUUCAUAAGAAUCUAAGUGGAGCAUUCUCCCAGACAACCAGCGGCGGAGCAAGGAGGGGCUGGCCAAACAGUGACGUUGACUGGUGCAUGAGACGAACAGAGGCUCACAGAAGAGCCUCUGAAGAGCCCACAAAAAAUGUCCAUAAGGAGGUGCGACAGGCUUCAAGCCAAGGCUGUCUGACCUGAGACAAACCAAUGAUCACUCUCACACGCAUUAUCUAAAUAAAACUUAUCCACUU
rnacentral:lncRNA from 10 species